AUAAAAGUGUUACAGCUCACCUAAUUUUAAAUGAAAUGUACUUCUUUUUUGAAUAAGUUUAACAAGUAUUUUAAGAUAUUUAUCAAUGUAAUAUUUUGGCUGAUUGCUGACCCUCACUCCCUCCUCCCCUGGAGAAGAAUGAAUUAUAUUAUUGAUGAAGUCGGGAUAUGACAGUGAGCAUUUAAAGCCAACCUCCUUCUCUCAUCUUUUUCACAGAAUCUAGCUGCCCACAGUGAACAGUUCUGCACUGCUCCUCUAUUCCCUGAGCUUUACAGAGUCCAGAUCCCAUGUACUGCUGAACUCAGGCAGAAAGAAGAGUGCAGUUUAUU
rnacentral:lncRNA from 10 species